AGUGCGCUCGAUUUAGGAAUUGGUAGAUUCGGACAGCACUAAAAAUGGUGAAUGCACUAUAUAGUGAUUAGGGGGGAAUUCGGACACAACCCUAGUUUCAUCAGAGUGUCCUAGGUCUUCCCAGAGGCCUCCGCCCAGUGAGACAUGCCGGGAACACCUCCCCAGGGAGGCGUCCAGGAGGCAUCCGGACCAGCCACCUCAACUGGCUCCUCUCAAUGUGGGGUAGAAGCGUUUCUACUCCGAGAUCUCUCCAGGUGACCGAGCUGCUCACCCUAUCUCUAAGGGAGCUCCCAGCCACCAUUGGUGAGAACUGGUAUGAAGCUGUCUUUUCACCACAACGGACCGGAACAAGCAUAACGGUGGACGCCGCUCCAAUCCAAAUGAAUUGAUGACUGGCUGGUUUUUGACCCCGCCUCCAAAGCCUGCAGUAAGGCGGGUCGGGUCGGAGCCUCAUGAGGAGAGGAGACUCAAACUUGCAGGGUGGAUUACCGCUGCACCCCUUUCUCUCCAUCUUCUAAAGGUAGAGGAUUAUGGCGUGUGUGAGCAGUGUAGCGGGAAUGUUGGAGGGAUAAUCUGGUGUAGGCCGGCCGCAGCCGUCCCGUCUACAUCCAACCCUCGAGGAUCCAUCUCUGCAGACUGUAAUUGUAAGGAAACUUCGUCCUCCUGUUGGAUGGAAACGAGCUGAGCCGCCAAACAUGUCACCCCUGUUUCCAGAAAAGAGGGAGGGUCUACAGAUUGUUUAUCGCCAACAAAAGCGGUAAAAUAGAGGCACACGAGGUGCUCCUGAAAGCAGGUUCACCAUCCUGCCCUCCCGCGUUCUCCCCCAUCUCUGUUGGGCUUUUGUUGGAGUGGCCUGACCUCCCCGUCUUCCGGCUGGGUCUGAAGCAGCUCCCGAUGGCCGCAAACAGGAUUAGGAGCUCCCAUGGUUCUGGUCAUUCUCUGUGGAUUUAGGAGAGUUACUGCAGCUUGACUGCUCUAUGGUACUUUAAUUACCCUGCCACCAGGGGGCCCCAGAGUGGGUAACAAGGAGGGAGGGAGGGGAGGGGGGGAAGCUUCUGUCUUUGCAAGGGAAUAAUCCCUGAGACCCUCUCAUCAGAUCAUCCCAAACUCUGACUUAACUGGUGCUGUGGGGUCAAGUUUCAAACCAUAUUUGUUUACAGAUGUUGGUCAAAUAAGAAUAUCAAAAAAAGCUGAAGAAGUUAAAAUAACUCUUUAAAUCAACAAGAGUUUAAAAGUUUAUUCAUCCAACUCUACAACUAUGUUAACAUUUUUUUUAAUUUGUUUUUCAAAAAACCGACUUUAAAUGUGUCAAAAAACAACUUCAGGGUGUAACUAAUGUGAUGUUAAACUCAUAUAUUAAAGUGUAACCAAACAGGAAGUUGGAGGCUGACUCCACCCACAGCCGCAAUUUGAAAAUCCAGUCAGAGGGGCGGGGGUGGGGAACAGGACUGUUAUGAUUACUGAUGUGGGACUUAAAUGGUUUACGCCAGGGGUGUCAAACUCAAUCGCACAGGGGUUCAAAACCCAAAGCACACCUUAGAAUGCAGGCCGAAUAGUAAAAACAUUAAUUUAACACUAAAACUACAUUUUUAAAACUUUUAAACCUCAAAUUUUUAACAUAAAUAUGAACUAGCUACAUAGCAUUACCUCCGAUAAUGCUAGUGUGAAUGCUGA